rnacentral:rRNA from 1 species
AGCAGCCGCGGUAAUUCCAGCUCCAAUAGCGUAUAUUAAAGUUGUUGCAGUUAAAAAGCUCGUAGUUGAAUUUCGAGACCGGUUUACUGGUCGUGCUUUUGUACGUACUGGUAUUAUUGGUUUCUCCUUUCUGACGAAUCAUAAUGCCAUUAAUUUGGUGUUUUGGGGAAUCAGGACUGUUACUUUGAAAAAAUUAGAGUGUUUAAAGCAGGCUCACGCUUGAAUACAUUAGCAUGGAAUAACGAAAUAGGACGUUUGAUUUUAUUUUGUUGGUUUCUAGGAUCGACGUAAUGAUUAAUAGGGAUAGUUGGGGGCAUUAGUAUUCAAUUGUCAGAGGUGAAAUUCUUGGAUUUAUUGAAGACUAACUACUGCGAAAGCAUUUGCCAAGGAUGUUUUC